rnacentral:rRNA from 1 species
CUCCGGUUGAUCCUGCCGGACCCGACUGCUAUCGGAUUGAGAUUUAGCCAUGCGAGUCGAACGUCCCCCUGUUGCGGGGGGCGUGGCGUACGGCUCAGUAACACGUAGUCAACCUGCCCUGGAGACAAGGACAACCCCGGGAAACUGGGAUUAAUCCUUGAUAGGUCAUCUCAUCUGGAAGGAGAGAUGGCUUAAAGGGGUACGCGGGCUUCUUCCGCGAAUCUGCUCCAGGAUGGGACUGCGUCCGAUCAGGCUGUUGGCGGGGUAAUGGCCCACCAAACCUGUAACCGGUACGGGCCUUGAGAGAGGUGGCCCGGAGAUGGACACUGAGAGAAGGGUCCAGGUCCUAUGGGGCGCAGCAGGCGCGAAACCUCUGCAAUAGGCGAAAGCUUGACAGGGUUACUCUGAGUGAUUUCCGUUAAGGAAAUCUUUUGGCACCUCUAAAAAUGGUGCAGAAUAAGGGGUGGGCAAGUCUGGUGUCAGCCGCCGCGGUAAUACCAGCACCCCGAGUGGUCGGGACGUUUAUUGGGCCUAAAGCAUCCGUAGCCGGUUCUACAAGUCUUCCGUUAAAUCCAACUGCUUAACAGGUGGGCUGCGGAAGAUACUAUAGAUCUAGGAGGCGGGAGAGGCAAGCGGUACUCGAUGGAUAGGGGUAAAAUCCGUUGAUCCAUUGAAGACCACCAGUGGCGAAGGCGGCUUGCCAGAACGCGCUCGACGGUGAGGGAUGAAAGCUGGGGGAGCAAACCGGAUUAGAUACCCGGGUAGUCCCAGCUGUAAACGAUGCAGACUCGGUGAUGAGUUGGCUAUAUGCCAUCUCAGUGCCGCAGGGAAGCCGUUAAGUUUGCCGCCUGGGAAGUACGGACGCAAGUCUGAAACUUAAAGGAUUGGCGGGGGAGCA